rnacentral:lncRNA from 1 species
GGAUGGGAGGCCUACCAGGCCCUGAACAGAGAGUGCGUGCUGCCCACCUUCAUGAGGAGCCGGUGCUGCAGGUCCAGAGGUGCCUCUUUAAAGAAAGAUGCCAGCUUGUCGUAGACGGUCACAGCCCUGCAAUGAAAUCAUGGCAGGACUAUUGCAUUAGUCCAGCGUGGAGGCUACUUUCUGCUCAAACCACUCAUUUGGGUCCCGUGCCCAACGUCACCCAUCCUCAGCAAAACCACCAUUAUUUCCUUCUGCCUGGUUUCCAGAAAGUUCCCCUAAAGCCCUGAGGAAUCACCGAAUGAAAGGGGCUUUUUACAAACAGGAAACUUAAGUGGAGUGCCAAUACACAACAUGGAUUGCAGCAGGCUCGGUCUAAGAUAAAACCAGACGGUGGACAACAGGCCAGGUUUUUGCUUGUCUGAUGACUGAUGGCUCCACCCAGACCUGCCAACCACUCCCGCGGCCCCAUCCAGAAGUGGCUCAGCGUGCAUGA